rnacentral:tRNA from 1 species
UUACAAGUUGCUAGUGCACUCGCGCUGCCCUCCGAAGGCAGAGGCCACAGGUUCGAAUCCUGUCGGGUGCGCCA